rfam:TPA: Bos taurus chromosome 18, whole genome shotgun sequence.
GGGAAACGGGUUGAGGGGCCAGCCUCAGGCCCCAACAACGACUGGGGCA